CAGGCGUCGCAUGCUCAAGCAAGCUCCAUUGCCGAGCAGGUAAAAGGAUUCGUCUCGCCGUGGUUCUUCUCACCGUUACAUUGUUUCCUGCUAGACAGACAAUAUCACAGAUCAGAACGGUCUACUCUUUCGUUCAAGAGUCUCGUGCUCUCACCUCCUUCUCUGAUGCGCUGCAAGCCGCUAGGAAAGUCGGGGAAAGAGGCGGGUUGAUCCGAGGGAUGGGACUUGGACUUACGCUUGGAAUUGUCAACUGUUCUUGGGCAUUGGAGCUCUGGUGCGGUAGCAUUCUCGUCUCCAAAGGACACAUCGACGGAGGGAAGAUUCUGACUGCGGUGUUUUGCAUCGUCUUUGGUGGCAUGUAAGCUGCAAGCACAUCAGUCAGAGCAGAUCAUGAAGAACUUACGUUAAAUUUUUACGUACCAGGGCCCUUGGACAGACAACUCCAGAGUUGCAGGUGUUCUCGAGAGGCAGAGUAGCAGCUUACAACAUCUUCAAUAUCAUCGACCGUGCGUC
rnacentral:lncRNA from 1 species